rnacentral:rRNA from 1 species
AUUGAACGCUGGCGGCAGGCCUAACACAUGCAAGUCGGAUGAGUGGCGGACGGGUGAGUAAUGUCUGGGAAACUGCCUGCUGGAGGGGGAUAACUACUGAAAACGGUAGCUAAUACCGCAUACCAUCGGAUGUGCCCAGAUGGGAUUAGCUGGUAGGUGGGGUAAAGGCUCACCUGGGCGACGAUCCCUAGCGGGUCUGAGAGGAGGACCAGCCAAAUGGGAACUGGGACACGGCCCAGCCCCCUAGGGGAGGAAGCAUUGGGGAAUAUUGCAAAAUGGGGGAAAGCCUGCCGCAGCAAGGCCGCGUGUAUGAAGAAGGCUUCCGGGUUGUAAAGUACUUUCAGCGGGGAGGCGGUACCCGCAGAAGAAGCACCGGCUAACUACGUGCCAGCAGCCGCGGUAAUAC